GAUGAACGCUGGCGGCGUGCCUAAUACAUGCAAGUCGAGCGAACAGAUGAGAAGCUUGCUUCUCUGAUGUUAGCGGCGGACGGGUGAGUAACACGUGGGUAACCUACCUAUAAGACUGGGAUAACUCCGGGAAACCGGGGCUAAUACCGGAUAAUAUUUUGAACCGCAUGGUUCAAUAGUGAAAGACGGUUUCGGCUGUCACUUAUAGAUGGACCCGCGCCGUAUUAGCUAGUUGGUAAGGUAACGGCUUACCAAGGCGACGAUACGUAGCCGACCUGAGAGGGUGAUCGGCCACACUGGAACUGAGACACGGUCCAGACUCCUACGGGUGGCAGCAGUAGGGAAUCUUCCGCAAUGGGCGAAAGCCUGACGGAGCAACGCCGCGUGAGUGAUGAGGGUCUUCGGAUCGUAAAACUCUGUUGUUAGGGAAGAACAAAUUUGUUAGUAACUGAACAAGUCUUGACGGUACCUAACCAGAAAGCCACGGCUAACUACGUGCCAGCAGCCGCCGUAA
rnacentral:rRNA from 1 species